UGCCUACUUCGGCAGCACAAUACUAAAAUAGGAAUGAUACAGAGAAGAUUAGCAUGGCCCCUAUGCAAGGAUGACAUGCAAACUCAUGAAGUGUUCCAUAUUUUU
rnacentral:snRNA from 1 species